rnacentral:rRNA from 1 species
GGCGUAAGCGCACGCAGGCGGUCUGUCAAGUCGGAUGUGAAAUCCCCGGGCUCAACCUGGGAACUGCAUUCGAAACUGGCAGGCUAGAGUCUUGUAGAGGGGGGUAGAAUUCCAGGUGUAGCGGUGAAAUGCGUAGAGAUCUGGAGGAAUACCGGUGGCGAAGGCGGCCCCCUGGACAAAGACUGACGCUCAGGUGCGAAAGCGUGGGGAGCAAACAGGAUUAGAUACCCUGGUAGUCCACGCCGUAAACGAUGUCGAUUUGGAGGUUGUGCCCUUGAGGCGUGGCUUCCGGAGCUAACGCGUUAAAUCGACCGCCUGGGGAGUACGGCCGCAAGGUUAAAACUCAAAUGAAUUGACGGGGGCCCGCACAAGCGGUGGAGCAUGUGGUUUAAUUCGAUGCAACGCGAAGAACCUUACCUGGUCUUGACAUCCACAGAACUUUCCAGAGAUGGAUUGGUGCCUUCGGGAACUGUGAGACAGGUGCUGCAUGGCUGUCGUCAGCUCGUGUUGUGAAAUGUUGGGUUAAGUCCCGCCACGAGCGCAACCCUUAUCCUUUGUUGCCAGCGGUUAGGCCGGGAACUCAAAGGAGACUGCCAGUGAUAAACUGGAGGAAAGUGGGGAUGACGUCAAAUCACCAUGGGUCCUACGACCAGGGCUACACACAUGCUACAAUGGCGCAU